UGUCAUCAAUGAACUAUCUGAGGAAGAGCCAUUUCAGAGGAUGUGAAAGUAACAUCGAAAGGCGUUUUAAAGAACCUGCUGCCUCUUAUUGCAAAAUGUAAAAUCUAACCCCCAGUAAGCCAGCUCUUUGGGGGUUUGAGGUACACUGUGAAUUAUUAUUUUUUUCUGCAUCUCCUUUUGUGUCUGGAAGUUGCCAGAGCAUUUUCAGUGAUGCUCGAUUGAUAUGGCUUUCUCAAGAACUCUCCAAAAUACAAAACAAGUCUCUGAAGUGAGGUGACCCUGGUGAACUCAUCUGGAUUCAAAGGCCAAAAGAGCAAAGAAGAACUUCAGUAUGUGAAGAAGUGCUGGGUGCUGGGUGCCACACCACCUUCCGACAGUGCCAACACUCGGAUCUAAAUAAUGUGACAGAAGCAUGUAGACAUCUUCACAUUUCACUACACACCCCUUUGUUGGUUGGAUAAUGGUUUAGAUCCUUCUAGAACUAAGUUUUUUUUUUAAACGAGAUUUUUUAAUUAAAUGAAAAAUGGACUGAACU